rnacentral:tRNA from 1 species
GCUCCCAUCGUCUAGUGGUUUAGGACGCUUGGUUCUCAUCCAAGUAACACCGGUUCAAAUCCGGUUGGGAGCGCAA